rnacentral:rRNA from 1 species
UGGGAAUUUUGGACAAUGGGCGAAAGCCUGAUCCAGCAAUGCCGCGUGUGUGAAGAAGGCCUUCGGGUUGUAAAGCACUUUUGUCCGGAAAGAAAUCCUUGGCUCUAAUACAGUCGGGGGAUGACGGUACCGGAAGAAUAAGCACCGGCUAACUACGUGCCAGCAGCCGCGGUAAUACGUAGGGUGCAAGCGUUAAUCGGAAUUACUGGGCGUAAAGCGUGCGCAGGCGGUUUGCUAAGACCGAUGUGAAAUCCCCGGGCUCAACCUGGGAACUGCAUUGGUGACUGGCAGGCUAGAGUAUGGCAGAGGGGGGUAGAAUUCCACGUGUAGCAGUGAAAUGCGUAGAGAUGUGGAGGAAUACCGAUGGCGAAGGCAGCCCCCUGGGCCAAUACUGACGCUCAUGCACGAAAGCGUGGGGAGCAAACAGGAUUAGAUACCCUGGUAGUCCACGCCCUAAACGAUGUCAACUAGUUGUGGGGAUUCAUUUCCUUAGUAACGUAGCUAACGCGUGAAGUUGACCGCCUGGGGAGUACGGUCGCAAGAUUAAAACUCAAAGGAAUUGACGGGGUCAUAGCUGUUUCCU